rnacentral:lncRNA from 1 species
UAGAGUUUUCCAAUAUAAAACUUCAACAAAUUUUAGAUUCACAAAAUAACAUAUUACCUGUUCCAACAAUAUCUCAUAUACUUUAGGUGCAAGGUACGCAACUCAUUUCUUGUUAAAAUACAUUAUUAAUACAUUAAUAUCACUCCCUCUAAUUCUGAAAGACUUGAUCGUCAGAGUAUAUGCAUAUCCACUAGAAACUGCUUCACAUUCUGUCGUCACUAACCGAUUUCAGUCAUCACCAAAG